rnacentral:tRNA from 1 species
GCAGUAGCUCAAUUUGGUAGAGCACCGGUCUCCAAAACCGAAGGUUGGGGGUUCAAGUCCCUCCUGCC